CUAAGCCCACAGCAUGCAGAAGUUUCCGGGCUAGGGGUCGAACCUACACCAUAGCAGUGACCCAAGCCACAGCAGUGACAAUGCCAGAUCCUUAAUGAGCUGAGCCACCAGGGAACUCCAAUUACUCCCUUUUUAAAAAAGGAUGCAAAGAUGAAAUCCUUUUGUUACUGUAUGUUAAAAGGAAAUGCUUCUGCUUGUGUAGAUUAGGUAUUAUUUAACUAGAAAAACAAACCAAAGAGCAAAACGUAAGUAAAAAGAAUAAAGCAUUUAUCUUCCUAAAAGUAAAAGGAUGGAAGCUUCUUGGUGCCUAAGAACUAAUAAGUCUACCUACAAAAACCAAUGGCCUCAAAUAAAUAAGGCCAGACUCCACAGUAACUACAUUUCAUUCUCUUCAUUCCUCAACAGAUCUGCAUUCAACUAAAUUUAAAUAAUUUUAACUAUAUUUAGACUAAGUGCUAAACUAUAUUUAUUUAAUAUACUUGGAAUAUUCCAAUUCUUUAAAGGACAACUAAAGAUGCUUCAUUACUUAGGCUGUGUUAUAGGAGUUCAGAUAUACCUCUAGUUUUUGAAAGUAAAAAUCUCACAGAUUUAGAAUUCAUGCUUAAAUAUGUGGAACACACAACUUUACCUUGGAUUGUGUUGGUGGGAAGGGAAAAGAAGUAUGACACUGGGAGAGAAAGCACAUGUAUAAUAGCAGAAUUGGCAUUAACUUGAAUUCCACAUAUGAUCGUCAGAGGCACAUCACUGAAUUAUAAACUAAACUCACAUCUGAUGUCUAAGUGGACAACACGUUCUAUUAAAAACUGCUCCCCCUGAGCAAAUAACAACCAUUCUCUCCCCCACUUUUAAACUAAAAAGACUGUUCACAUUAUCUCUAUAUGAAAGCAAAUGUUAAAUGGCUUUAGUUUCACAUGUCAAUUUAGCUUCAGUUUCACACAACAAUUUAUCUGAGAUGUUUCGGCAGGAUUGAACCCAAGACCUCUGUAAAUAUUACAUGCCAUUUGCCAACAGGAAAAGGGAAGAUCUUGUUAUAGUAAAUUACUGAUACUAGUGUUCUCGGAAAGAUGAUGUCAACACUUAAAAAAAAAAAGUCACUUCUUUUUAAUAGUCUGAUUACCCUUUAACUGUUAUAUUAUGGGAGAAAGUAGAAAGGUCAGCUACAUAAUUAAAAUAAAGACCAUCUACCUUCUAGAUAACACAUAUCAAGAGAAUAACAUGUGCUUUUAAAAUGCUACAGCCUCCCUAAAAUUCAAGUCCCACUAAAAUAUAAUGCCAAAGGAAUGUAUUUCCUCAUGUUGUAAUCACAAAAAAAACACAAACCCCAAAGAUUAAUCAUGUCUAUUGCACAAGUGAAAAAAGCAAUUUGGCAAAAGAAGCAAGAAUGCAUAAGCACCAGGCAGGUUCCCUUCCAUAGCCCUUGGAAUUGGGGCUUAUCUGGCAGGUCCUCCAGACCCUUCCAUGGCAGUGGAGGAAAUAGGCCUGGGCAGAGACAGAGGUGCCCUCUAAAGGGUACCAACACCCUGCCCUCUGAACUCACUGUUCUUUUCCCUCCGGUGUGAACAUGGACCCCAGGUGUCACUAUGGUUCAUAAAAAACACCAAUCACACACCCACAUAAGUACAGAGCCAUUCCUUGGAGCCCCAGCGCUGACCAGUGAGGAGCAGGGUGCUACCCUAAAGGCACCCCUACGAAAGGAAGGUAAUCCUUGGGAAAGCGGUAGCUACUCAGGACUGGCUAAGAAAUGUUUGCUCAACCUAUAUUUUUAACUCAGGACUGACUGAUUUUUUUAAAAAAAACUCUCCGAUACACCUACACCAUUUUAAUUCUUCCAUUAAGAUUAAUAAAAAAUGAAAAGUAGGUAACUCUUUGAUUAAGAAGAGAAUCUUAAUCUGUGUAGAGAAAAAACUGAGUUUCUUGUAUUAAAUAAAACAUAUCCCUUUAAAACUAUAUACAAAUACCUGCAAGUGACACAGGUCCCCUUAAACCUGAGGGUCUCCUCCCCCAGGUCACAGCUGGUCUGUGCGAAGUCUGAAGGGUUCACUCCAAAUCAAACUUUCAACUUCCGAAUUAGGAAAAACCCAGAAAGCCACAUGCUUGCUCCUCUCCCAGAGGAGUUAAUUCUGCAUAGGAACCUCUGAGAUGAGUGUCAAGAUGUCAGAGCCCCCUAAGCUCUGGGUCCCCAGUCGCAGCACCCGCAACCUUCCUUAGGGGACGGCCAUCUCCCUGCCCUGUCUUCAAAGGGUCCACAGAGGGAGAAAGUGACAGGGAUUCUCACUUUGCCACACAACAGGCCACUAAAGCAAACAGACCACACUGCACAGGAAACCUAAUUGCUCAACAACCACCAGCGGCAGAACGCAGGGAUGAGCGCUUCCUCCUGCCAGGGAGGUGGCAGCCUGGGGAGGCGGCGGCCUCAGAGGGGCCAGCUCCCUCGGCCCCGCCCUCUCAGGCUGUUUUCUGAGAAACGGCGGCAUCUGUCAAGAAAUGACUGGCUCGAACCACAGCCGUAGCUGACAACAGAGCUGAGCAGCCUUUUCAACACUGUCACAAUGAGCUUUUUUUAAACACCACCCCCCGCAACUGGCUUCACCUUUUAUCAUUAUUACAAAGAUAUCUUCUGGAAAGUCCGUCAGGUCAAAUAGGAAGGGUUCACAUUUACUGGAGAGAGAUCAGGAUUAACAGAAGCUGGGAAGAGAAGUUCGACCAUCAGAACAGCACAGACUCUGCCCCCACCCCCGCCCCCAAUCUCCACAGAGGACAGUGGCCUGCAGCAUGGAUUUCCAUGGUACACAGCACUUCCCUGCCAGGAACACAGCACGUGCGACAGCUGUGUCAACCUUCCUCGACCCUCCAAGGAGAAGGCGUGAGGCACCAAAAACAUGAAUUUUCUCUUGUAAAUCAAGUGCUAAACCAAAAGCGGUGCUGGAACUAAAGCCAGGUCCCCAUAAGCACUAAGUGCCAUGUGACAAGGGAACAGAUGAGCAUCAGACAGAGUGUCAACACUGCAGUUGAGAAAAAGCCACCUGCCACAGGAUCCUUCACUGCCGACAUAACCACCAUGUCAUUCUCGGCUGAAGGACACAGCUGGCUGGUCACUGUUCCACCCCGACACCUGUGCAAUAUUCUGCUCAUCUUACUGACACUCGUGAGCCAAGGUCAUGCCCUGGAAAAGCAGGGACAGCAAGGCCACCACUUGGCCCGGCCCUGUCUUCAUCACUGCGCACACCGCUCUCAUGGGGGACCUGCCUGUGACUUCCUUUCUCUGCUGGGUGCCAACCUCCCUGCACCCUCCAUGGUCUGCUCCUGACCUUUACCACCUCCAACACUCAGCACACAAGUCCCACAAGCCGGACAAGAGGACAAUAUGACACUAAAAAGCUUUGUUCAAAGCUUUUUAAAAGAAAAGAAUCCUAUCAAGCAAUGAACUUCACUGCCCCAGGAGCCAGGGAGCAGGCCAAUGGGGAGGAGGAAGGCACACUUGGGCUGGGGGUGGGCAGGGGCCCUGAGGGAUGUGCAAGGCACCACAACCACCCCCAAGCACAUGAGAGUUUCCAGGAGAGAAGAGCAGCAGGACAGUGGGCAGACUGGACAGAGGAGGAUAACCUACCCACUGAGAGCUCAACCAGGGGUCCCUCAGAGGUAGAGGAGACCGAGUGGCCACCAAGCCUCUCCCAGAGCACAUGUCACCAGGCUGGCUACUUGGAGCACACAGUGGAUUCAACCUUCUCCAAACAAGAGGUCAGCUGUCUGCAGACAUCUGUCUCUCUCAGCCAAUCAUGAUUUCAAGUUCCUAAACUUGACAGGACAGUUAGCUAACUAAAUCCUGCUUACAUAUCCCCAAAAUGACUCUACCCCGAGAGUCUCUGAGAUGGAGAGAAGACCUGGAAAGUGUCCUCACAAAAAGGGUAAAAUGUGGAGUUCCUGAUGUGGCACCAACAGGAUCAGUGGCGUCCCUGGGGCGCUGGGACGCAGGUUGAAUUCCCAGCCCAGCACAGUGGGCUAUGGAUCUGGUGUAGGUAUCAGUGAGCAUCUCACCAUCUUCCUGGAAACUCCUCUUCUAAGGGAGUCAGAGGCUAAAAAAUUGAGGGGAGAGGCAGUUGGGGGAAGAAGUGUU
rnacentral:lncRNA from 1 species